GGUAAUCUGGCUGUAAUAUCAAUUAGUCCAAUGAUCACCAAGGUUGAUUCAGCUGAUCUGAUUAAUUACUGAGUAUCCACUUCCUUUGUUUUGACACCAUGUGCAUCCCUUCUAACAUAGCAUAUUUGGAGAAAAGAGGACAGUACCACAGAUAAAAGGAAUGAUUCUAUAUAAAUC
rnacentral:snRNA from 1 species